UGGCGGCAUGCUUAACACAUGCAAGUCGAACGGUAGCAGACCGCUGGGAUCCCUUCGGGGUGACCUUGGUGCGUGACGAGUGGCGGACGGGUGAGUAACGCGUAGGAAUCUGCCUGGCAGCCGGGGGACAACUCCGGGAAACCGGAGCUAAUACCGCAUACGCCCUACGGGGGAAAGAUGGGGAUCUUCGGACCUGUCACUGCCAGAUGAGCCUGCGUUAGAUUAGCUUGUUGGUGGGGUAAUGGCCUACCAAGGCGACGAUCUAUAGCUGGUCUGAGAGGAUGAUCAGCCACACUGGGACUGAGACACGGCCCAGACUCCUACGGGAGGCAGCAGUGGGGAAUAUUGGACAAUGGGCGCAAGCCUGAUCCAGCAAUGCCGCGUGUGUGAAGAAGGCCUUAGGGUUGUAAAGCACUUUCAAUUGGGAAGAAAAGCAUAGGGUUAAUACCCCUGUGUCUUGACGGUACCAAUACAAGAAGCACCGGCUAACUCCGUG
rnacentral:rRNA from 1 species